rnacentral:rRNA from 1 species
GACGAACGCUGGCGGCGUGCCUAAUACAUGCAAGUUGAGCGCUGAAGGUUGGUACUUGUACCCACUGGAUGAGCAGCGAACGGGUGAGUAACGCGUGGGGAAUCUGCCUUUGAGCGGGGGACAACAUUUGGAAACGAAUGCUAAUACCGCAUAAAAACUUUAAACACAAGUUUUAAGUUUGAAAGAUGCAAUUGCAUCACUCAAAGAUGAUCCCGCGUUGUAUUAGCUAGUUGGUGAGGUAAAGGCUCACCAAGGCGAUGAUACAUAGCCGACCUGAGAGGGUGAUCGGCCACAAUGGGACUGAGACACGGCCCAAACUCCUACGGGAGGCAGCAGUAGGGAAUCUUCGGCAAUGGACGAAAGGCUGACCGAGCAACGCCGCGUGAGUGAAGAAGGGUUUCGGAUCGUAAAACUCGGUUGGUAGAGAAGAACGUUGGUGAGAGUGGAAAGCUCAUCAAGUGACGGUAACUACCCAGAAAGGGACGGCUAACUACGUG